rnacentral:rRNA from 1 species
AUUGAACGCUGGCGGAAUGCUUUACACAUGCAAGUCGAACGGUAGAGGGGGCAACCCCUCGAGAGUGGCGAACGGGUGAGUAAUAUAUCGGAACGUGCCCAGUCGUGGGGGAUAACGUAGCGAAAGUUACGCUAAUACCGCAUACGAUCUACGGAUGAAAGCGGGGGAUCGCAAGACCUCGCGCGAUUGGAGCGGCCGAUAUCAGAUUAGGUAGUUGGUAGGGUAAAGGCCUACCAAGCCAACGAUCUGUAGCUGGUCUGAGAGGACGACCAGCCACACUGGAACUGAGACACGGUCCAGACUCCUACGGGAGGCAGCAGUGGGGAAUUUUGGACAAUGGGCGCAAGCCUGAUCCAGCAAUGCCGCGUGCAGGAAGAAGGCC